rnacentral:rRNA from 1 species
ACGAUCCGGUGACGGAUGGGCAUGCGUGACAUUAGCUAGUCGGCGGGGUAACGGCCCACCGAGGCGACGAUGUCUAGGGGUUCUGAGAGGAAGGUCCCCCACACUGGUACUGAGACACGGACCAGACUCCUACGGGAGGCAGCAGUGAGGAAUAUUGGUCAAUGGGCUUACGCCUGAACCAGCCAAGUCGCGUGAGGGAAGACUGCCCUAUGGGUUGUAAACCUCUUUUGUCAGGGAGCAACGCCGGCUACGUGUAGCCGGACUGAGAGUACCUGAAGAAAAAGCAUCGGCUAACUCCGUGCCAGCAGCCGCGGUAAUACGGAGGAUGCGAGCGUUAUCCGGAUUUAUUGGGUUUAAAGGGUGCGUAGGCGGAAUGCCAAGUCAGCGGUAAAAUCGCGGGGCUCAACCUCGCUCCGCCGUUGAAACUGGCGUUCUUGAGUGGGCGAGAAGUAUGCGGAAUGCGUGGUGUAGCGGUGAAAUGCAUAGAUAUCACGCAGAACUCCGAUUGCGAAGGCAGCAUACCGGCGCCCAACUGACGCUGAAGCACGAAAGCGUGGGUAUCGAACAGGAUUAGAUACCCUGGUAGUCCACGCAGUAAACGAU